rnacentral:rRNA from 1 species
UACGUAGGGUGCAAGCGUUGUCCGGAAUUAUUGGGCGUAAAGAGCUCGUAGGCGGCUUGUCACGUCUGCUGUGAAAACUCGGGGCUCAACCCCGAGCCUGCAGUGGAUACGGGCUAGCUAGAGUGCGGUAGGGGAGACUGGAAUUCCUGGUGUAGCGGUGAAAUGCGCAGAUAUCAGGAGGAACACCGAUGGCGAAGGCAGGUCUCUGGGCCAUAACUGACGCUGAGAAGCGAAAGCAUGAGGAGCGAACAGG